GUCUUAGUCGUCACUGGACCACAAUUCUUGAUAUCCUUCCAUGGACACUGGAAGUAAUAUGAGCUACAGAUAUGCAUCUCAAUGGGGGGUUAUUUCUUUCCUCAACAAGUUAUAGUAUAACAGGAGAGGGUAAUGAUGCUGACCUGUGGCUUCACCUUCCAUGGAAAACUCUGACUUGCCAGGAGGGGGUCGUCGCUUCCAGAGAUCGUCGCCCAGCCCGGUCGUCGCUUCCAGGGAUGGGGAUGCCUUCACCAAAUGAGGCAAAAUCUGGCUCGCAGAUAUGGGUCGUCCAUCUGGAAGGUUUCGGUUUUAUACAUGGAAAGAAUCCAACUUGAUAUGUGGAAGGUCUAGGCUGCAUACACGGAAAGACUACGUGAUCAUGAAUUGUGAUAUGAUUUCUACUAUACAUGGAAUACAUGUUAUGUGCAAAAGGAAAA